rnacentral:rRNA from 1 species
AAUCAACGCUGGCGGCGUGCCUAACACAUGCAAGUCGAACGCGAAAGUUCCUUCGGGGGAUGAGUAGAGUGGCGUCCGGGUGAGUAACGCGUGGGUAAUCUACCUUCGGGUGGGGAAGUAACCAGUCGAAAGAUUGGCUAAUACCGCAUAAAGCAACUGUUUCCAUGAAGUGGUUGUUAAAGGAGCAAUCCGCCUGAAGAGGAGCCUGCGUCUGAUUAGCUAGUUGGCGGGGUAACGGCCCACCAAGGCUACGAUCAGUAGCUGGUCUGAGAGGACGGCC